rnacentral:rRNA from 1 species
AGUGAACGCUGGCGGUAGGCCUAACACAUGCAAGUCGAACGGCAGCACAGGAGAGCUUGCUCUCUGGGUGGCGAGUGGCGGACGGGUGAGGAAUACAUCGGAAUCUACCUUUUCGUGGGGGAUAACGUAGGGAAACUUACGCUAAUACCGCAUACGACCUACGGGUGAAAGUGGGGGACCGCAAGGCCUCACGCGAUUAGAUGAGCCGAUGUCCGAUUAGCUAGUUGGCGGGGUAAUGGCCCACCAAGGCGACGAUCGGUAGCUGGUCUGAGAGGAUAAUCAGCCACAGUGGAACUGAGACACGGUCCAGACUCCUACGGGAGGCAGCAGUGGGGAAUAUUGGACAAGGGGCGCAAGCCUGAUCCAGCCAUACCGCGUGGGUGAAGAAGGCCUUCGGGUUGUAAAGCCCUUUUGUUGGGAAAGAAAUCCUGUCGAUUAAUACUCGGUGGGGAUGACGGUACCCAAAGAAUAAGCACCGGCUAACUUCGUGCCAGCAGCCGCCGUAAAAC